UUCCUUUUAUCUUUUUCUUUCUUUUAAUAAUUAUUUUUAUAUUUUAAAUUAAUUUCAAAUAAUACAAAUAAUAUUAAAACUCCUUCCAAAUAAUACAAAUAAUAUUACAAAUAAUCCCUGGGACCUUUUCUCUCAAUCAAACUCUUUCCGUCCGCUCCUGCCACCACAAAUCGGCCGCUACCACCGUCGCCGGUAGCUCCUCCACCACUCGCCUUCCAAACUCUUUCAGAUGACCACGCCUCACAAACUCCUUCCCCCUCUUCCCUCCAAGCCUUCUCUUUAUUGAUUCUCCACUGUUUUCCUCUGAAAUCUGAAUGUGUUCUAGCUUUAAUUUCUCAUUCUCAACCUCCUGCUAAGAUAGAACAAAUAAAUAAAGGAUGAAGGUGCAAACCUUACAUAUUAUUGUAUCAAAUCAUCCUACAUAUUAAAUCCAUAGAUUGCCCAACCCUCCAAGUAAAUCAUCUUGGCAGGAGAAAAUUUGGCCUAUACACUAAAUAGGCCAAACCACCAAGCUGAAGAAAUUAGCCCUAGCAUUCUCAUACAAAAAGCAGUGGUGAGUAUGAGUAGCAAUGUGAGAAUAACAGAACAACUGCUUGCAAGAGAUGCACAUACAGCAAAUAAACUACUCGACUUGAGGGGGUGGGGGAGGGAAAUCGAGGGUUUGUGAGACGUGGUCAUCGAGGGUUUAGGGGUUGAGGAGGAGGAGGGCUUGGAGAGGGAAGAGGGGGAUUUUGGGUGGGCUGUGAGGGAAGAGGAGAGAGAGAGGAAUUUUGGGUGGGCUGAUUGAAAUAAGAGGAGAGAGAAUAAAAAUC
rnacentral:lncRNA from 1 species